rnacentral:rRNA from 1 species
CCUUCGGGAGCUGACGAGUGGGCGGACGGGUGAGUAAUGUCUGGGAAACUGGCUGAUGGAGGGGGAUAACUACUGGAAACGGUAGCUAAUACCGCAUAACGUCUUCGGACCAAAGUGGGGGACCUUCGGGCCUCAUGCCAUCAGAUGUGCCCAGAUGGGAUUAGCUAGUAGGUGGGGUAACGGCUCACCUAGGUGACGAUCCCUAGCUGGUCUGAGAGGAUGACCAGCCAACACUGGAACUGGGACACGGUCCAGACUCCUAAGGGAGGCAGCAGUGGGGAAUAUUGGACAAUGGGGCGCAAGCCUGAUGCAGCCAUGCCGCGUGUAUGAAGAAGGGCUUCGGGUUGUAAAGUAAUUUCAGCGGGGAGGAAGGGUGUUGUGGUUAAUAACCACAGCAAUUGACGUUACCCGCCAGCAAGAAGCACCGGCUAACUCCGUGCCAGCAGCCGCGGUAAUACGGAGGGUGCAAGCGUUAAUCGGAAUUACUGGGCGUAAAGCGCACGCAGGCGGUUGAUUAACGUCAGAUGUGAAAUCCCCGGGCUCAACCUGGGAACUGCAUUUGAAACUGGUCAGCUUGAGUCUCGUAGAGGGGGGUAGAAUUCCAGGUGUAGCGGUGAGAUGCGUAGAGAUCUGGAGGAAUACCGGUGGCGAAGGCGGCCCCCUGGAACGAAGACUGACGCUCAGCGUGCGAAAGCGUGGGGAGCAAACAGGAUUAGCAUACCCUGGCUAGCUCCACGCCCGUAAACGAUGUCGACUUGGAGGUUGUGCCCUUGCAGGCGUGGCCUUCCGGAGCUAACGCGUUAAGUCGACCGCCUGGGGAGUACGGCCGCAAGGUUAAAAACUCAAAUGAAUUGACGGGGGCCCGGCACAAGCGGUGGAGCAUGUGGUUUAAUUCCGAUGGAACGCGAAGAACCCUUACCUUGGCCCUUUGACAAUUGCAUAGAAAUCA